CUCCAGUGUGUGGGAACCGAUCAAUG
rnacentral:piRNA from 1 species